rnacentral:lncRNA from 1 species
GGCCAGUUUAUCGUCAUUACGUCCGCCAUUUUGUUUUCCGGUCGCGAUAUUUUUCAAAAUAUACAAUUUUGAAACGGGUUGUUUUGUCGGAUUUUUGCCAUAAUGAAGAAUAAAAAGUUAACCUAAAUAUUAUAAAAAUAUAAAGUUAAUUAAAAAGAAUAACUUUAUAUAAUAAUUCAAAAUGAAAUCCAACGUAAUAUUUGAUCAAUCGCGGCGUAUUUCCAAUGAAAACGUUGACGGCGGCA